AUUGAACGCUGGCGGCAGGCUUAACACAUGCAAGUCGAGCGGGGUGAUGGUGCUUGCACUAUCACUUAGCGGCGGACGGGUGAGUAAUGCUUAGGAAUCUGCCUAUUAGUGGGGGACAACAUCUCGAAAGGGAUGCUAAUACCGCAUACGUCCUACGGGAGAAAGCAGGGGAUCACUUGUGACCUUGCGCUAAUAGAUGAGCCUAAGUCGGAUUAGCUAGUUGGUGGGGUAAAGGCCUACCAAGGCGACGAUCUGUAGCAGGUCGGAGAGGAUGAUCCGCCACACUGGGACUGAGACACGGCCCAGACUCCUACGGGAGGCAGCUGUGGGGAAUAUUGGACAAUGGGGGGAACCCUGAUCCAGCCAUGCCGCGUGUGUGAAGAAGGCCUUAUGGUUGUAAAGCACUUUAAGCGAGGAGGAGGCUCUUUUGGUUAAUACCCAAGAUGAGUGGACGUUACUCGCAGAAUAAGCACCGGCUAACUCCGUGCCAGCAGCCGCAGUAA
rnacentral:rRNA from 1 species